UAACACCUGCAACAGUAGGAUCAUUUCUAUAGUAAUCGUCACUCUUUGACUCUUCAAAAGAGCCACUGAAUCCAACUUGGUUGAUGAGCCUAUAACCUUUGUGCCCCAGAGUGAGACCAAAGAUGUUUCCCUAGCUUGGUCCACAACCCUCAGCGGUUUGGCCAUCUACCCACAUUUUUGUUUUGCCUUUUGCUUUGCAGUUGUUUAUCCCACUUUUGUGGGCAUUCUCCUGUGCUAAAAAGGCGCGAUGAUCUUUGCCCAGUUCGUGCACUUCUUCGUGAAGGGACGACCAUAUUGGGUGGGCGCAAACGGCAGUCUGACAAGU
rfam:Lachancea nothofagi CBS 11611 genome assembly, chromosome: H